AGAAAUUUUAGAAUAUGAUUGGGAAAAAUAAGAGUCGUCCACCAUGAUAAAUCUAACGUUAGAAAUAAAAGAAGUACCUUGAAAUACCUAAAAAGAAAUAAUAAAUUGGUAGGACCAAAUACUAAAAAUAAUCCUUCAAUUUAUUUAUUUUUUUUCGAUCAGAUGGUAAAGAAAGUACUUUUUUUGGAUCAGAUGGUGGAAAAAAAAACCUUUGAGUACCAAAGUACCAAUGGUUACUUAUAAUAUCAAAUCCAUCCGGUUAGUUAUUUAUUUGGGUACCUAGAGCAUCUCCAAGAGUCUCCCAAAAAGUUUUUCCCCAAAACUAUGUAUUAAGGGCUCUAUUAAAUUUUCUUUUUCUAAAAAUCGUAUCAUCCCACGGUAGAUUUCCAAUAAUAAACUCCCAAUAUUUCAAAAGUUGCCACAUCAGCACAUAUGAGCCCUUAGCUGGGCCACCUCCUUCCCCC
rnacentral:lncRNA from 1 species